AGCCAGACUCCUACGGGAGGCAGCAGUGAGGAAUAUUGGUCAAUGGCCGGAAGGCUGAACCAGCCAAGCCGCGUGAGGGAGGAAGGCGCAGAGCGUCGCAGACCUCUUUUGCCGGGGGACAAAAGGCCGGACUCGUCCGGUCCUGAGGGUACCCGGAGAAAAAGCAUCGGCUAACUCCGUGCCAGCAGCCGCGGUAAUACGUAGGGGGCGAGCGUUAUCCGGAAUUACUGGGUGUAAAGGGAGCGUAGACGGCGAAGUAAGCCUGAAGUGGAAGCCCGCGGCCCAACCGCGGAACUGCUUUGGGAACUGUUUUGCUGGAGUAUGGGAGGGGUAAGCGGAAUUCCUGGUGUAGCGGUGAAAUGCGUAGAUAUCAGGAGGAACACCGGUGGCGAAGGCGGCUUACUGGACCAUGACUGACGUUGAGGCUCGAAAGCGUGGGGAGCGAACAGGAUUAGAUACCCCCGUAC
rnacentral:rRNA from 1 species